AAUUCGAUUGAGUUUGAUCAUGGCUCAGGACGAACGCUGGCGGCGUGCUUAACACAUGCAAGUGGAGCGACGAACCGGGGCUUGCCCCGGGGCAGAGCCGCGAACGGGUGAGUAACACGUGGGUUACCUACCCCAAUGACUGGGACAACCCGAGGAAACUCGGGCUAAUACCGGAUGUGGUCUACGGACCAAAGGAAGCUUCGGCCUCCGCAUUGGGAUGGGCCCGCGGCGCAUCAGCUAGUUGGUGGGGUAACGGCCUACCAAGGCGACGAUGCGUAGCUGGUCUGAGAGGACGAUCAGCCACACUGGGACUGAGACACGGCCCAGACUCCUACGGGAGGCAGCAGUGGGGAAUCUUGCGCAAUGCGCGAAAGCGUGACGCAGCAACGCCGCGUGGGGGAAGAAGGCCUUCGGGUUGUAAACCUCUUUCAGUUGGGACGAAGGCCUCGCGGUUAAUAGCCGUGGGGGUUGACGGUACCUUCAGAAGAAGCCCCGGCUAACUACGUGCCAGCAGCCGCGGUAAUACGUAGGGGGCAAGCGUUGUCCGGAAUCAUUNNNCGUAAAGAGCGUGUAGGCGGCCCGAUAAGUCCGCUGUGAAAGUCCAGGGCUCAACCCUGGAAUGCCGGUGGAUACUGUCGCGCUCGAGUUCGGAAGAGGUGAGUGGAAUUCCUGGUGUAGC
rnacentral:rRNA from 1 species